rnacentral:rRNA from 1 species
UACGUAGGGUGCAAGCGUUAAUCGGAAUUACUGGGCGUAAAGCGUGCGCAGGCGGUUUUGUAAGUCUGUCGUGAAAUCCCCGGGCUCAACCUGGGAAUUGCGAUGGAGACUGCAAGGCUAGAAUCUGGCAGAGGGGGGUAGAAUUCCACGUGUAGCAGUGAAAUGCGUAGAGAUGUGGAGGAACACCGGAUGGCGCAAGGCAGCCCCCUGGGAUCGAAGAU